GAAGCUUUAAGUUAAAAAAACUAUUAACCUUCAAAGUUAAAAUUACAGGUGUUAAUGUAAGCUUUA
rnacentral:tRNA from 1 species